AGAGAGCAGGAGGUCACACGGCCCGGGGACAGAGGGCAGGAGGUCACAUGGCCUGGGGACAGAGAACAGUAGGUCACAUGGCCUGGGGACAGAGGGCAGGAGGUCACUCGGCCUGGGGACAGAAGGCAGGAGGCCACACGGCCUGGGGUCAGAGAGCAGGAGGCCACACGGCCCGAGGACAGAGAGCAGGAGGCCACACGGCCCGGGGACAGAGAGCAGGAGGUCACACGGCCCGGGGACAGAGGGCAGGAGGUCACUCGGCCCGGGGACAGAG